AGUGAACGCUGGCGGCAGGCCUAAUACAUGCAAGUCGAACGGCAGCACAGCAGAGCUUGCUCUGUGGGUGGCGAGUGGCGGACGGGUGAGGAAUACAUGGGAAUCUGCCCAGUCGUGGGGGAUAACGUAGGGAAACUUACGCUAAUACCGCAUGCGCCCUUCGGGGGAAAGCCGGGGACCUUCGGUCCUGGCGCGAUUGGAUGAGCCCAUGUCGGAUUAGCUAGUUGGUGGGGUAAAGGCCCACCAAGGCGACGAUCCGUAGCUGGUCUGAGAGGAUGAUCAGCCACACUGGAACUGAGACACGGUCCAGACUCCUACGGGAGGCAGCAGUAGGGAAUAUUGGACAAUGGGCGCAAGCCUGAUCCAGCCAUGCCGCGUGAGUGAAGAAGGCCUUCGGGUUGUAAAGCUCUUUUGUCCGGAAAGAAAAGCAUCCAGUUAAUACCUGGGUGUCCUGACGGUACCGGAAGAAUAAGCACCGGCUAACUUCGUGCCAGCAGCCGCCGUAAUAC
rnacentral:rRNA from 1 species